rnacentral:pre_miRNA from 1 species
AUCACCUGGGGACCUGGUUAAAAUGCAGAUUCUGCUCCAGUGGAUCUGGGGUGAAGCCUGAGAGUGUGCAUUUCUAGCAAGCUCCCAGGUGAUGCUGA